UUAUACACUGACUAUGAAGUUGCAAUACAUCAGUGCCAUGGUCUUCGGUGUUGCGUUUGUACACGGGCCUGAUGUUUGUACCUGUCGCACACGUAGUGGGCUGGUGGGUAAUUAAUGGUCUUUAGAAGGGCCCAUGUGACACUGCAGAUUUCCUGCCUCGCUAGACCAUUCAUCCCCUUCUUGCGGCAGCUCGGCGUGCGACGGAAUUGCCAUGGAUGGGCUUCGAGGAAGCUGAAUCAGGAUUGAUUCCUAGAGUUCCGUGGAGAUGAAUUUGUGCGAUUCUUAGGAGGAGAUAUCUCUGUUGUGGAGUCAGUCGUUGCGUCUAUCCAUGAAGCUCGCGUGGACUCCGAAGAUUUGAUUUCCUCUGGGCACACAAACUGGCUCUAUGGAUGGUGAGCAUCCUGGCGCAGGGAGGCGCCUUUUGGAUGCAAUGCCGGGGGAAGAGGAAGCUGGCUCAUACAACGGUGCUAGCGAGGUUGUUGCCGAUUCAAACGAUAGGCCACCUGAAGAUAUCAGCGAUGCAGCCGUUCAGAGAGGAUGUAGAUGCAGAGAGCGUGUUCGUCUCCAACUCAAAAGGCUCCUGCUAGACUCGAAGGAUUAGGAUUAGUAAGGCGGCAGAUGAGAGGGAAAUCAAUCCAAGCAGGGUUCCUGCACUCGAGGCUUCAAUACGUGCUUAUGCAAACAAAAAAGCUGCUGUUGUUGUUCAUCCGGCACUGAGGACAACUUUUGAUUUGGCUGAAGAUCCUGAGUUCAAAUAUAGUGUUCAAAGUCGAUGAUGAAGGUCGAGUGAUAACUCUGAUGUGGACAACAGGAUGAAGCAUUGAGCAGUUUAAGUGCUUUGGUGAUGUUGUCACCUUCGAUACCACAUACAAAACUAAUCUUUAUGACAUGCCAUUCGGCUUUUUGUUGGUGUCAACAAUCACUUUCAGAGUAUUAUUUUUGGCGCUGUGCUGAUGACGAGAAAGUCUGCACUUUCAAGUGGAUUUUCACCGAGUUCUUUCAAAUGGGGGUGUGGUUCUAACUCAUAACUUGCCUAUUGAGAUUUAUGCUUCCAAAAUUUAUACUAGGACAAUGUUUGAAAAGUUCAGUGAGAUGCUUUAUGAAGGCGGGUUGUAUAUGCUGGUUGAAGUUGUACAGCGUCGUGAGUACACCACCGGGUAUGUUAAGAAGAAUUUGAGAGAAAUGCGGUGCAAGAAUUACUUCGUCGUUCAAGUGAACGGUCCGGGUGAUGAGUUCAAGUGUGAAUGUGGCAUGUUUGAGCAUUUCAAGAUGGUGUGCAGCCAUGCGCUUAAGGUAUCUUUCCUUUUCUGUUUUAAUCCGUGUGCCAAGGAAAUUAUGAUAUACUCCCUCUGAUUCAAAAAAAGUGUCUGCAUUUAUUGUGCCUAGAAUUUGUGAAACUAGGCGACAACGAUGUGGAUGCAUAUAGUCUUGCUAUGGAGCAACUGAGAAAUGUGAAAACAGUAGUGAAGCCUGUUGUUGCUAUACGCGACGGCAUGGGGCUAUCUGGCAGAGAAAUGGCAGCUGAUUCUGUAGGAUCAGAGAUAGGAAAUAAACAGCAUUUUGGUCCACCAAAACCAGCGAAGUGGUUCGGAAUGCUCCGAUAGUUUUGUAGCACCAUUGAAGAAGAGGCCAACGGGUCGCCCUAACACAAGUCGCCAGAAGGCGCCAUAGAGCAGCCGGCUAAAAUGACUAGAUUAUGUUCUGUUUGCAGGGGUCAGGAUCACAAGAGCACCACUUGUCUGCAACAAGGCGAUCUUCCAAAGGCAUCGAGGAAGUCGCCUCGAUGCUCAAGAUGCAGCUUGUGAGGUCACAGAAAGAACACUUGCACCAACCCACCAAAAUCAGACUUUCAAGAUUGAUUUCAGUGUGACUUCUUGAAGCUCGGUUUGCUAACUGAAUAAUCCACUGUUUGUCAAGUGAGAACAACACUCCGUAGGUGUGAGCUGGUGUCGCUGUUGUGCAUGCCUUUGUUAAUCCCUCUAUUGCACUGGAUUUGUGAUGUUGCUAUGACCAAAUAUGUGGUUUAACUUUUUCAGUGA